CUCAAAUUUCCCAACAAGGCAGGUAGCAUAAUUGUCGAAAUCUCGAAUAGAGCGUGACUAUUGGGACAUGAAAAAUAUCGAGCACUAUUAGCCAGAUGAAAUCAGAUUAACCACAAAGAAGCAAGACGUUCUCUUAUUUAAUAUGCACGGUGACAAAUUGUGAACUUGAAAAGUCCAGUUAUGCUGAAUUUGACAUCCAUAAAAAGCAUAAAAAGAUACCAUUAAAAUCCAUGUCCUAUUAAGUCUGGCAGCACAAUGCUCAGUGAAGGUUGCCUUCUUAAUAAUGUGAACAAGUUUAAAAUUCUACAGCCAAAUAUCU